rnacentral:rRNA from 1 species
ACUGAAUAGAUACCCGGGUAGUCCACGCCCUAAACGAUGCAUAUUUGGUGUGGGCAGUUCAUUCUGUCCGUGCCGGAGCUAACGCGUUAAAUAUGCCGCCUGGGGAGUACAGUCGCAAGGCUGAAACUCAAAGGAAUUGACGGGGGCCCGCACAAGCGGUGGAGCAUGUGGUUCAAUUCGACGCAACGCGAAGAACCUUACCUGGGCUCGAACGGCUGAUCAACGGCGGUGGAAACAUCGCUACCCCGCCAAGGGGGUUACGUAGUCGAGGUGGCUGCAUGGCGUGUCGUCAGCUCGUGUCGUGAGAUGUUGGGUUAAGUCCCGCAACGAGCGCAACCCUUCGUCCUGUGUUGCCAUGUCGAAAGACGGAACUCGCAGGAGACCGCCAGGGAUAACCUGGAGGAAGGUGGGGA